rnacentral:lncRNA from 1 species
AGUGAACGACCUAUCCUACGUAGGGAACUGACGCGGUGGUUGUGAGAAAUUCACAUUUAACAUGUAUUCAAAAUUGGCAAAUAAGAUCAAGCUCAAUAAUCCAUUCUUUUAUUUUCGUAAAGUUCCCUUCCGCAAUUCAUGUAUGUCAAAUAAAAAAAUGCAAUUUAUCUACCAAUAAAAUAUUAAAAGUUAUUACUACCAAGAUAAUUAAUUUGUCUUAUGUCAAAAAAAGAUAAUUAAUUUGUCCUCAUCACUUUUAAUAAAAUUUUACAUGUUUACUAAAACAAAAAGACAAUUUUGACCAUUAAAAUAGAAAUUUUAUUAGGUAUAGAAAUAUUUAACCUAAUUUAAUAAAUUAGCACACAAGGAAAAAAAAAGAUAAUUUUUUUGUCAAAAUAACUCGACUAAACCGAGUUGGGAUCACAACUAAUAAACCUAGAUUUAGUCUUUUUGUUUCACUAAACAAGCAAAACAUUAUCCUUAUUUGUAUUAAGGACCAAAUGACAUACAUGACCUUUUCCUGUGACUCCAAGUUCUUAUUUUCAUUCCUCGAGUCUAUAAUACCUUCAAUCUCUUUCAAUCUUCUAUGAAACUUUUCAAAGGCUGCUUUUAUCAAUGAAGAUGGUAGAUUCUGGAUACAUUUACACUACUAGAAAACUCGCCUUUAGCGACCGAUUUAGAGACCGAUUUUGAUGAAAAUCGGUCUCUAAAUCUGUUAGCGACCGAUUUUGCGACCAUUUAAAAUCGGCAUCAACGACCCUGGUCGCUACUUCCUGCAAUAGUGAAGUUCAUUUAUAACUGUUUUUGUUAUUGCAAAUCACAGCGAUAAAACAGGUCCAAAAGGAACAUAUUUAACCACCACACCAGCCUUCAUUUCAAAGUAACACCUAUAACACAAUUUUUAGACGAUGUGUCGUGUACACUCGGACACACCUUCAACAUGCAGUGUCAGUGAACAACUUGGUUUGGAUGAUGUUGUGGAGAGAGUAGCUGAACAACUUGGAAAAUCUAGAAGGAAAUUAUUUACAAUAACAAUAAGCCAAAUAGCCAACUCACCCCUUCCCUACAGCUAAUAAUUAUGCAAAUCAUUAAGUCUGUGUAUAAUGUGCAUCAUCAGACAUACAAACAACACACAGAAAACGGAAAUAAACAACUCAAAAUUUACCUCAUUGUUUUCUUUGAAAUUGAAACAGAACAAUGCCCUAUAUGAGAACACAAUAUUAUCGAAACCGAACACAUAUGGUUACAUUCUAUCACUCCAUUUUGUUAAAUUAUUAUUCAUGAAAUGUGUGCUUCAUAGAUUUUAUGCAACAAACUGAAACUACUGAAAGCUAAGAGGCAUGCAUUAAAAUAACUAUAAGUAAAUAAAUAAAUCACUUGUGAAAUGUGUUCUGCAGCUGCAACCCUAGCACUAAGGUCUAAGGGAAACCUAAAAUUAACGAUGAAAUCAAAAAUGAAAGCCCUAACACUUGAAGGUGAAUAAGUUACCUGAAGUACAUCAAAACAAGAAGGUUGUGUAGUCCAAUCUUGUUGAGUGACGGUGCUUAAGGGAACUCAUAAAAAUCCAAAUCUGAACAUAUUAACAAUGUAAACCUUUUUUUUAAGAACAUAAGCAGGGCAGCAACAAAACAUAAUCAACUUUCAAGCUUAAAGAAAAUAGUCUCUGACAUAAGUCCAUAAUCUAGAACCUAUCAUCUACUUUACUCAUGCUUCAAUUUAAUUAAAACAACUUCAACAUUCAGCAAGGACAAAUCAGGUAAAGGUUACACAGUAUAACUGUGCAAAGAUAGCAAUUAAAACCAGACCAAUUCUCACCACAUUGAUAUUUCCUUAAAAAAAAAUUAAAUCCAGACCAUUCUAAAUUCUAUAAAAAUUAAGUUAAUAGUACCAAUUAAAACCUCUAACUUGCAGCCAAUGUAAUUAGAACAAAGUGAAUGCCUCUAGAUUCCUAGGUCAUUCAAAAAUUAAAAUGCAUUCAUUGGAAGAAACAUCAACCUUGUUCUUGUUUUAGAGAAAGAAUUUCACAACUUUGGAAGAAAACCACAUGAAACAUGUAAAUCAACAUAUAACCCGAAGAACUAAAAUAGGGUUCGCAGAGAACCUAGAUUGGAUUCACAUAUGUGAAAAGGAACAUAUAGGAGAAUCGGACAACUAAAUUAGGGUUCACGGAUUAGAGAAAGGGGAAUUAGAACUGAGAAUCUAAAAACGUAACGAUUGAACUAUUGAAGAGAAAGGGGUUAGGGUUCAAAUUUUUGAAGGAAAUAUUUGGUAGAGGAAUAC